rnacentral:rRNA from 1 species
GACGAACGCUGGCGGCGUGCUUAACACAUGCAAGUCGAACGGAAAGGCCCUGCUUUUGCUGGGUGCUCGAGUGGCGAACGGGUGUGUAAAACGUGAGUAACCUGCCCUUGUCUUUGGGAUAACUUUAGGAAACUCGGGCUAUUACCCGAUAGGAUCUACUGCUCCAUGGUGGGGGUUGGAAAGUUUCGGCGGUUGGGUCUGGACUCGAGGGUUAUCAGCUUGUUGGUCUGGUAGUGGCUUUCCAAGCCUUUGACGGGUAGCCGGCCUGAGAGGGUGACCGGCCACAAUGGGACUGCGGUACGCACCAGAAGCGUACGGGCGGCAGCAGUGGGGAAUAUGGCGCAAUGGGCGGAAGCCUGAUGCAGCGACGUCGCGUGCGGGAUGACGGUCUUCGGGUUGAAAACCGCUGUCGCCGGUGACGAAGCGUGAGUGACGGUAAUGGGUAAAGAAGCACCGGCUAACUACGUG